rnacentral:lncRNA from 1 species
UCGAAAUAUAAGAAGGAAUGACAGGCAAAGAAAAUUGUAAAUAUAGGUGUAAUCAAAAAGGAAUGAGGCGGGGACAAGAGGGGCAGGAAAAUAUUCACUGAGGAACCAAUGGUGGUUCUUAGAACAGGAAGAUGGUAGAGUCUUCUCAUUUGGUAACAAGUCAGGAGGGAAGUGGUUUAUAGGUGGCAGUUGGUAAACUGGCCUAGGCAUAUCCCAAGGAAGAUAACCAAUCAACUGAGAAGAAAGUUACCUUUCAAGCCACGAUGUGGUUUUUUUUGUUUGUUUGUUUUAGGUAGCUCUCUGCAUUGUUUUUCAAGAAUUAUUCUGUCAUACUUCAUAGACUUUAGCCAUUUUGCUUUAGGAGAGGUGGGCCAAAGCACCUGGGUGUGGGUUGUGAGAGGAGAAGUUGGCUGAAUUAUCUGCAGAAUUGGCUUAGUACUCCUCUUCAUUUUACAAGUAAAAAAAAUCAUGUCUUUUGUCAGACCCUGUUCUUUAGGAUGCCACAGCCCAUAGCCCGCAGCUGGCGGCCUCUGACAAAGAAAUGAAGGAAGCUCAUGACCAGUCUUGUAUUGCCAGCAAGGAGGGCAUGAAGAAAGUGUCACGGAGCAUUUGCCUUUGUGUUGCAAUGGUUGUUGUUGGCAACAUCCCUGAGUUGUACCCACAUUUCAUCUGUUUGAGCUCGUAUUGGGAGAUCAGAGAAGAGCUACAAGGAAGGUAAAGGAUUUGCAUCUGUUAACAAACCUUGGGCUUGUCCUUGGAUUGGUUUCUAGCUACUCUUCUCCAGCUGAGGUUGAGUCAUCGGAAGACGCUCAGUUCUGACCCAGUGGCUCCUCAAGGAAUGGCACCAGCGCUGAGAGAGGAUAGGUUUUUCUCUUGCCAGACUUUUGUGAUGGUUUUGUUUUGAAUAACACGGUCUCCAACUGAUGGAUCUCUUAAGUCUAUUGAUACAAAAAGUACCUCCUUGUAAAUGUUUUUCAGUGACAGGAAAGAUAAUAAUGAACCCAAGAAGCAUAGAAGGAGAGUGUUGGCAAGAGGAAAGGGAAUGGCUGCAGGAGAACAGAGGUUCAGAACCAGGACCUUCUGCCUUGGCCUCCUACCUGCAUGAGUGGCUGGCCACUCUUAGCAUCCACUGCCCACCCUCUGUGGCCACAGGCGAUUCUGCUAAUCUGAGCCAUCUGUGCAUCUUGAUCACAAGGAAGAUACCACCCUAAGCCUCCAAGGCCAGUUGGCCAAACAGAGAUUUGGCCACUCCUCCAGGAAGAGGUUUCUCACUAUGUCAGACGCAUCUCUGUCAGAAGCCCUUGCAAACAGUCAAACCAUUUUGUACUAUCAUUUCUGAUACGCAGCUCAAGAGGCACCAUGGGUACAAUCACAUCUGACAUAAUAUAGCUGCUAGAACACUUGGCCUGGCAGUUUUAGAAAGGGACUUUCAUGAUUAAAACACUCUUUCUCAGGGCAGCAUCUGCGAUGCCACCUACAUCUUUUGCCUGAGGGAUUCCCAGAGGGUCAAUAUCACCUCCUUUUCCCUUCUUUUGCUAACUCAGUGAAGAAAGAGCAAAGAUGAGUGAGUCAGAGCUUGGGAUAAAUUAUUACACAUAUGUCUGUGCAUGUUUGCAUCUGAGAAUAAAUGAAAGAAAAAUUAACCUG